AAAAGAGUUUGUUGUAAUCCACCAGCAGCCUGCGGAGAGGGCAGCAGAGUUAGACAGUGGGGAGGAACAUGGGCCAGUCCGGGAGUCUGGGGAGGAAUCAGACGAGGGUUCUGCAUCUGAUACAGAGAUGGGGCCAGGGCCAUCUGGCAG